rnacentral:lncRNA from 1 species
AAAAAGUAAAGUGACAGGAACAGACAUUAAUUUUUUGAGGAAUCAUAAUUUUCGAAGGCAAGCACGUNNNNNNNNNNNNNCGCGAGUCAUCAGCUCGCGUUGACUACGUCCCUGCCCUUUGUACACACCGCCCGUCGCUCCUACCGAUUGAAUGGGUCCGGUGAAGUGUUAGGAUCGUGGCGACGUGGGCGUUCGCUGCCCGCGACGUCGCGAGAAUUCCACUGAACCUUAUCAUUUAGAGGAAGGAGAAGUCGUAACAAGGUUUCCGUAGGUGAACCUGCGGAAG